rnacentral:rRNA from 2 species
AGAUUGAACUGAAGAGUUUGAUCCUGGCUCAGAUUGAACGCUGGCGGGAUGCUUUACACAUGCAAGUCGGACGGCAGCACGGGCUUCGGCCUGGUGGCGAGUGGCGAACGGGUGAGUAAUGUAUCGGAACGUGCCCAGUAGCGGGGGAUAACUACGCGAAAGCGUGGCUAAUACCGCAUACGCCCUACGGGGGAAAGCGGGGACCUUCGGGCCUCGCACUAUUGGAGCGGCCGAUAUCGGAUUAGCUAGUUGGUGGGGUAACGGCCUACCAAGGCGACGAUCCGUAGCUGGUUUGAGAGGACGACCAGCCACACUGGGACUGAGACACGGCCCAGACUCCUACGGGAGGCAGCAGUGGGGAAUUUUGGACAAUGGGGGCAACCCUGAUCCAGCCAUCCCGCGUGUGCGAUGAAGGCCUUCGGGUUGUAAAGCACUUUUGGCAGGAAAGAAACGGCACGGGCUAAUAUCCUGUGCAACUGACGGUACCUGCAGAAUAAGCACCGGCUAACUACGUGCCAGCAGCCGCGGUAAUACGUAGGGUGCAAGCGUUAAUCGGAAUUACUGGGCGUAAAGCGUGCGCAGGCGGUUCGGAAAGAAAGAUGUGAAAUCCCAGGGCUUAACCUUGGAACUGCAUUUUUAACUACCGGGCUAGAGUGUGUCAGAGGGAGGUGGAAUUCCGCGUGUAGCAGUGAAAUGCGUAGAUAUGCGGAGGAACACCGAUGGCGAAGGCAGCCUCCUGGGAUAACACUGACGCUCAUGCACGAAAGUGUGGGGAGCAAACAGGAUUAGAUACCCUGGUAGUCCACGCCCUAAACGAUGUCAACUAGCUGUUGGGGCCUUCGGGCCUUGGUAGCGCAGCUAACGCGUGAAGUUGACCGCCUGGGGAGUACGGUCGCAAGAUUAAAACUCAAAGGAAUUGACGGGGACCCGCACAAGCGGUGGAUGAUGUGGAUUAAUUCGAUGCAACGCGAAAAACCUUACCUACCCUUGACAUGUCUGGAAUCCCGAAGAGAUUUGGGAGUGCUCGCAAGAGAACCGGAACACAGGUGCUGCAUGGCUGUCGUCAGCUCGUGUCGUGAGAUGUUGGGUUAAGUCCCGCAACGAGCGCAACCCUUGUCAUUAGUUGCUACGAAAGGGCACUCUAAUGAGACUGCCGGUGACAAACCGGAGGAAGGUGGGGAUGACGUCAAGUCCUCAUGGCCCUUAUGGGUAGGGCUUCACACGUCAUACAAUGGUCGGGACAGAGGGUUGCCAACCCGCGAGGGGGAGCCAAUCCCAGAAACCCGGUCGUAGUCCGGAUCGCAGUCUGCAACUCGACUGCGUGAAGUCGGAAUCGCUAGUAAUCGCGGAUCAGCAUGUCGCGGUGAAUACGUUCCCGGGUCUUGUACACACCGCCCGUCACACCAUGGGAGUGGGUUUUACCAGAAGUAGUUAGCCUAACCGCAAGGGGGGCGAUUACCACGGUAGGAUUCAUGACUGGGGUGAAGUCGUAACAAGGUAGCCGUAUCGGAAGGUGCGGCUGGAUCACCUCCUUU